rnacentral:rRNA from 1 species
UACGGGGGGGGCAAGCGUUGUUCGGAAUUACUGGGCGUAAAGGGCUCGUAGGUGGCCAACUAAGUCAGACGUGAAAUCCCUCAGCUUAACUGGGGAACUGCGUCUGAUACUGGAUGGCUUGAGAUUGGGAGAGGGAUGCGGAAUUCCAGGUGUAGCGGUGAAAUGCGUAGAUAUCUGGAGGAACACCGGUGGCGAAGGCGGCAUCCUGGACCGGUAUUGACGCUGAGGCGCGAAAGCCAGGGGAGCAAAGCGGG